UACGGAGGAUGCGAGCGUUAUCCGGAUUUAUUGGGUUUAAAGGGUGCGUAGGCGGGAUGCCAAGUCAGCGGUAAAAAUGCGGUGCUCAACGCCGUCGAGCCGUUGAAACUGGCGUUCUUGAGUGGGCGAGAAGUAUGCGGAAUGCGUGGUGUAGCGGUGAAAUGCAUAGAUAUCACGCAGAACCCCGAUUGCGAAGGCAGCAUGCCGGCUUCCUACUGACGCUGAAGCACGAAAGCGUGGGGAUCGAACAGG
rnacentral:rRNA from 1 species